rnacentral:rRNA from 1 species
CGCUAUCACUCCUACGGGAGGCAGCAGUAGGGAAUAUUGGGCAAUGGAGGCAACUCUGACCCAGCCAUGCCGCGUGCAGGAAGACGGUCCUCUGGAUUGUAAACUGCUUUUGAAUGGGAAGAACCCUGUCCUUGCGAGGGCAGCUGACGGUACCCAUUAGAAUAAGCCACGGCUAACUACGUGCCAGCAGCCGCGGUAAUACGUAGGUGGCGAGCGUUAUCCGGAUUUAUUGGGCGUAAAGCGCAUGCAGGCGGCCUGUUAAGUCAGAUGUGAAAGCCCGGGGCUUAACCUCGGAAUUGCAUUUGAAACUGGCAGGCUAGAGUCUUGUAGAGGGGGUAGAAUUUCAGGUGUAGCGGUGAAAUGCGUAGAGAUCUGAAGGAAUACCAGUGGCGAAGGCGGCCCCCUGGACAAAGACUGACGCUCAGAUGCGAAAGCGUGGGGAGCAAACAGGAUUAGAUACCCUGGUAG